ACUCAAAUCACUUAGGGAUCUUGUUAAAGUUCAGAUUCUGAUUCAGCAGAUUUGGCCUAAGAUCUGGAAUUUGGCAUUCCUCGCAACUUCCCAGAUGAUGGUAAU
rnacentral:pre_miRNA from 1 species